GACAGAGGGGGCAAGCGUUGCUCGGAAUUACUGGGCGUAAAGGGCGCGUAGGCGGCCUGCUAAGUCACACGUGAAAUCCCUCGGCUCAACCGGGGAACUGCGUGUGAUACUGGCGGGCUUGAAUUCGGGAGAGGGAUGUGGAAUUCCCGGUGUAGCGGUGAAAUGCGCAGAUAUCGGGAGGAACACCAAUGGCGAAGGCAGCUCGCUGGGACGUUACUGACGCUGAGACGCGAAAGCGUGGGGAGCAAACAGG
rnacentral:rRNA from 1 species